UGAGGAACAUGACCUUCGGCGGGGGAUAGCCGGCCCAACGGCCGGGUAAUACCGCGUACGACCUUUCGGGGACAUCCCCGGAUGGUGAAAGCAGCAAUGCGCCG
rnacentral:rRNA from 1 species